rnacentral:rRNA from 1 species
CCUGAUCCAGCCAUGCCGCGUGCAGGAUGACGGCCCUAUGGGUUGUAAACUGCUUUUAUACAGGAAGAAAAAACUCUACGUGUAGAGUCUUGACGGUACUGUAAGAAUAAGGAUCGGCUAACUCCGUGCCAGCAGCCGCGGUAAUACGGAGGAUCCAAGCGUUAUCCGGAAUUAUUGGGUUUAAAGGGUCCGUAGGUGGACAAUUAAGUCAGAGGUGAAAUCCUGCAGCUCAACUGUAGAAUUGCCUUUGAAACUGGUUGUCUUGAGUCAUUAUGAAGUGGUUAGAAUGUGUAGUGUAGCGGUGAAAUGCAUAGAUAUUACACAGAAUACCAAUUGCGAAGGCAGAUCACUAAUAAUGUACUGACACUGAUGGACGAAAGCGUGGGUAGCGAACAGGAUUAGAUACCCUGGUAGUCCACGCCGUAAACGAUGGUUACUAGCUGUUCGGACUUCGGUCUGAGUGGCUAAGCGAAAGUGAUAAGUAACCCACCUGGGGAGUACGUUCGCAAGAAUGAAACUCAAAGGAAUUGACGGGGGCCCGCACAAGCGGUGGAGCAUGUGGUUUAAUUCGAUGAUACGCGAGGAACCUUACCAGGGCUUAAAUGUAGAGUGACAGGUCUAGAAAUAGAUUUUUCUUCGGACUCUUUACAAGGUGCUGCAUGGUUGUCGUCAGCUCGUG